AGCUGAUAUUUACACGACAGCUUCCUAACAUAUUGCAGAUUCAAGUUUGUUCAAAUCAUGGGCCCCGGGGGUUGGAUGGGGCCACAAGGGGUUGAUCAAAGUUUUGCAUGCAAAUAAAGGGAACAUCUUUAAAAAUCUUCUUCUCAAGAACCAUUGGGCUAAAGAAGUUGACAUUUACAUGAAAGCUUCCUGACAUAGUGUAGGUUCAAGUUUGCAAAAAUCAUGGCAUCCAGGGGUAGGUUGGGGCCAUAAUACGGACUAAGGGUUUACAUGCAAAUAUAUAUGGAAAGUCUUCAGAUAUGGGCCAAGGUGACCGAUGUGGCCCAUGGGCCUCUUGUUGUCUUUACUUUCGUUAUCAUUAAGACUUGAAUAUUUUAUCAAAACAAAAUAAUUUCUAGUACUAUUAUCUUUAUUGUUAUAGGUGGCGCUGCAGGGAUAGCCAUCGUGAUGAUUAUAGUUGGUGUCCUUUUGACGGGUCUUGUCCUUUUCUUAUAUGUCAAAUUCUCCAACAAAGGAGGGGACGAAAUGACAAUCAAAUUUUCCCGCCAAGUGGAUGAAGAAUAAAUACCCUCAUUCUCUCGUCAAAUUUCAUCUCCAUUGGGUGGAAUUUCACUACUGUAUGAGAGGUUAUGGACGUGCGAGUGAUGAACACAUUUCCUAUGAUGAAUUGCUUAUUGUCGAACAUAAUGUUUUCGAUAUACAUAUAUUCUGUCUAUAUUUUAAACCUUACAUUUAAUAUAUUUGUCUUUUAAGAAAAAAGAUUUCUGUAUACCAACAAAUGGUUGAAUAAUUGAAAUAUUAUAUCUAUAAAGAAGUGAUUCAAAUCGGCCAUUAAAAUUUUUAAAUCAACAGUUUUGUUGAAUUCGUCAUAAAGUUGUAAAUACUGUAUGCUGAAGCCAUAUUUCUAUCAUUUCCUGAUAAAAAGAGAACAAUUCAAACAC